rnacentral:rRNA from 1 species
AGAGUUUGAUCCUGGCUCAGGAUGAACGCUAGCUACAGGCUUAACACAUGCAAGUCGAGGGGAAACGACAUCGAAAGCUUGCUUUUGAUGGGCGUCGACCGGCGCACGGGUGAGUAACGCGUAUCCAACCUGCCCACCACUUGGGGAUAACCUUGCGAAAGUAAGACUAAUACCCAAUGACGUCUCUAGAAGACAUCUGAAAGGGAUUAAAGAUUUAUCGGUGAUGGAUGGGGAUGCGUCUGAUUAGCUUGUUGGCGGGGUAACGGCCCACCAAGGCGACGAUCAGUAGGGGUUCUGAGAGGAAGGUCCCCCACAUUGGAACUGAGACACGGUCCAAACUCCUACGGGAGGCAGCAGUGAGGAAUAUUGGUCAAUGGACGAGAGUCUGAACCAGCCAAGUAGCGUGCAGGAAGACGGCCCUAUGGGUUGUAAACUGCUUUUAUAAGGGAAUAAAGUGAGUCUCGUGAGACUUUUUGCAUGUACCUUAUGAAUAAGGACCGGCUAAUUCCGUGCCAGCAGCCGCGGUAAUACGGAAGGUCCGGGCGUUAUCCGGAUUUAUUGGGUUUAAAGGGAGCGUAGGCCGGAGAUUAAGCGUGUUGUGAAAUGUAGACGCUCAACGUCUGCACUGCAGCGCGAACUGGUUUCCUUGAGUACGCACAAAGUGGGCGGAAUUCGUGGUGUAGCGGUGAAAUGCUUAGAUAUCACGAAGAACUCCGAUUGCGAAGGCAGCUCACUGGAGCGCAACUGACGCUGAAGCUCGAAAGUGCGGGUAUCGAACAGGAUUAGAUACCCUGGUAGUCCGCACGGUAAACGAUGGAUGCCCGCUGUUGGUCUGAAUAGGUCAGCGGCCAAGCGAAAGCAUUAAGCAUCCCACCUGGGGAGUACGCCGGCAACGGUGAAACUC